rnacentral:pre_miRNA from 1 species
CAAAAAAAUAAACUCUGGUUUCCGUAUCUAACGUUUGACCGUCCGUCUUAUUUAAAAAAUUAUGAAAAAAAAUUAAAAAGACAAGUCACAUAUAAAAUAUUAAUCAUGUUUUAUUAUCUAACAGUAAAAAUACUAAUUAUAAAAAAAUUAUAUAAGACGGACAGUCAAACGUUGGACACGGAAACCCAGGGUUUGUUUUUUU